CUUUGUGGUCGUACUUUCUUCUCAAAGCCUGAUCUCGAUGCUUUUCAAAAGAUAAGCAGGACUGGGCCUGGUUAGUAUUUGGAUGGGGGAACCACAGAGA
rnacentral:rRNA from 1 species